GACGAACCGUGCGAACGUUGUUCGGAUUCACUGGGCUUAAAGGGCGCGUAGGCGGGCGAUCAAGUCCGGGGUGAAAUCUUUCGGCUCAACCGGAAAAGUGCCUUGGAUACUGGUCGCCUCGAGGGAGGUAGGGGCAUGCGGAACUUCCGGUGGAGCGGUGAAAUGCGUAGAUAUCGGAAGGAACGCCGGUGGCGAAAGCGGCGUGCUGGACCUCUGCUGACGCUGAGGCGCGAAAGCCAGGGGAGCGAACGGG
rnacentral:rRNA from 1 species